CGGCAGCACAUGCACACACAAUAGCACACACGCAGGAGAUGAAGAUCUGAUUUGUCACAUUUGAAACGCUAAUGUUUAAACCAGGAGGAAGCGCACACACAGUAAUGCGCUCAUUCAUCUGCAUAAACACCACCUGUCCACAUGCACGCCUCCUCCAGCACUGAAAGUUUAGCGGCGGCGUGCACGCGCCCAAGCAGCGAGCCAAUCAGCGCGGGCCCAGCUGCGCUUUCGCCAACCCCGAAGCGUUUUCAAGUGUCAGAAAGCGCCGUGAGUAGCGUCGACGACUUUCAUUUCAUGUCAUCCGCCAGCGAGACGAAUAGGCGACACGCUAACAAAAAGAAAACAGGCCACGCUAGCACGAUUGACAUCCAAAGCCCGAUUCAAAGCGGAGCGCAGAUGGACUGCCGCCGUCACUGAGGGCUUUUCCGCCGGAAGAUGGGGGUCAUGGUCCCCGGCAGACGACACUCCGACAAGCCGACUACAAGGGCAUGCUGGUUCUCAUCUCCCGGCCUUCCAGAUGCAGCAGUUUUGACAAGGGCCAUCUGAUAUGAAGUGAAGACAUCUGAGGGGGGAAAUCAAAGCUUGAAUUGUGGAGCACCAGCACAGUGGCAUCAUUUCUUAACCUGCUACCUGCACACAACCUACCUGACCUCAAAUGCAUCGUACAUAACCUUCAACACAGUCUUCUCUGUGCUAGGAAAACAUCAAAACAAUUCACUUCUGUUUUGUUGGGACAAUUGAAACUAGUCUUGACAGCCAUUUUAAUUCUGCAGUAUGAUGCAAAAACUACAACUCUUGACUUUUCUCCAACAUUGACAAAAAUAUACAAUAACAAAAGUCACUAUAUACAAAUAUUGACACAACUAGGCAUCCCUCCCUACAUCAUGGGUCGAACAUCGCACUGUCAAGAGGCUUUCAAUGUUAAUGCAGACCUGCCAACAUGUAGAAAUGUAAUGUCAACAUACAACUUGUUGCAUUUUCCUGGUUUCAGCUUCAAGCAUACUCUGUAAAGCUCAGAUAAUGGGUGAUGGGUAUUCUACACUGGUCACUAGCUGUCAGUAACGUAUUGAUAUUACGUAUAUAUAUAUAUAUAUAUAUAGAUAAGACAAUGGCCAUAACAGGAAGUAAGAUGUCAAUGUAAGCUGUAAGUCUAUGCAAUGUCUAUACGUAUUCCAUUCAUAAAGAAGGAAUCCUACUUAGUGGAAAUUCACAUAUCACGUUAUGGUCUGGAACCAAUAUAAACGAGGGAUAUACUGUAAAAUAUUAGGGUUUGCAUUUUCUUGCAUAAAACCGUGUAGUUUGGAGCCAAAGUGGUACAUUAUAAGUAGGGAUCGACCGAUAUGGUUUUUGGGGGGCCGAUGGCCGAUUUUGCUUGGGCCGAUAUUUGUGGCCGAUACUGCUUUUGAUCCCUCAAUUUACAUGAAGAAAUGACCGUGAUAACAAAUAUUUAUUGAAAUGUAAACACUGAACACAGUAGGAUUCAGCUUUC